GGUGGGGUUCCCGAGCAGCCAAAGGGAGCAGACUGUAGAUCUGCCGUCAUCGACUCCGAAGGUUCGAAUCCUUCCCCCACCACCA
rnacentral:tRNA from 1 species